AGUCGAACGGGGUACCCUGAAGCGAGGCUUCGGCCAAGCGGAAGGACUACCUAGUGGCGGACGGGUGAGUAACGCGUGAGCAACCUGCCUUUCAGAGGGGGACAACAGUUGGAAACGACUGCUAAUACCGCAUAAAAUCAUAGGAUGGCAUCAUCUAAUGAUCAAAGAUUUAUCGCUGAAAGAUGGGCUCGCGUCUGAUUAGAUAGUUGGUGAGGUAACGGCUCACCAAGUCGACGAUCAGUAGCCGGACUGAGAGGUUGAACGGCCACAUUGGGACUGAGAUACGGCCCAGACUCCUACGGGAGGCAGCAGUGGGGAAUAUUGGGCAAUGGGGGCAACCCUGACCCAGCAACGCCGCGUGAAGGAAGAAGGCUUUCGGGUUGUAAACUUCUUUGACUAGGGACGAAAGAAAUGACGGUACCUAGAAAACAAGCCACGGCUAACUACGUGCCAGCAGCCGCGGUAAUACGUAGGUGGCAAGCGUUGUCCGGAUUUACUGGGUGUAAAGGGCGCGUAGGCGGGACAGCAAGUCAGAUGUGAAAUCUAUGGGCUUAACCCAUAAACUGCAUUUGAAACUGUUGUU
rnacentral:rRNA from 1 species